CAAUAGCGUAUAUUUAAGUUGCUGCAGUUAAAAAGCUCGUAGUUGGAUUUCGGGUGGGAAUGGCCGGUCCGCCGUUUCGGUGUGCACUUGCUACGCCCACCUUGCUGCCGGGGACGUGCUCUUGAGUUCACGCUCGGGACACGGAGUCGGCGAGGUUACUUUGAGUAAAUUAGAGUGUUCAAAGCAGGCCUACGCUCUGAAUACAUUAGCAUGGAAUAACACGAUAGGACUCUGGCCUAUCUUGUUGGUCUGUAGGACCGGAGUAAUGAUUAUGAGGGACAGUCGGGGGCAUUCGUAUUUCAUUGUCAGAGGUGAAAUUCUUGGAUUUAUGAAAGACGAACUACUGCGAAAGCAUUUGCCAAGGAUGUUUUCAUUAA
rnacentral:rRNA from 1 species